AUGUGUUUCUCUCUCUCUCUCCCCCUCCCCACUCUUUCUAAAAGUCAAUAGGAAAAUAUCCUCGGGUGAGGAUUACCCCCCAAAAUAAGAAAGAGUCACCAGCUUUUGGCAGCUAUGAAGCUGGGGAGAUCCUGACCAAACCAAGGACAUCGGAUCUCAUUGUCCUCCCAGCCCUUCAACCCUUCCCCAAAGACCCUCAAUAAGAUGGUUUGACAACCCCCCCUGUACUCCCCCCAAAAAGAGUCACCAAUAAUAGUUUUUCUCUUCAGACAGCAACACAACCUCAAGUUAGAGACCAUCAGAGAACUGAGGGGCUAGGAAAAUCUUGAAUUUGCUCAUUUUCUUUCCUUCCGUAAGUAUCUGCAGCAACUGGGACCAAGAGAGGAGUUUCUAGCAGAACGUUGCCUGAAUUGCAAAGCACCUUAAUCACAGAAUUGUACAUAAUCCUUGAUCCUGUGUGUUUUCAUUUUAUGUAAAUUUCCAUUUGCCUCAAAACCUAUGAUAGUGCUAAGUAAAAACAAAACCAUCGAUUGCUUUUCAUGUAA